CACGUAGGGUGCGAGCGUUGUCCGGAAUUAUUGGGCGUAAAGAGCUCGUAGGCGGUGUGUCGCGUCGGGAGUGAAAACCCAGGGCUUAACCCUGGGCUGGCUUCCGAUACGGGCAGACUAGAGGUAUGCAGGGGAGAACGGAAUUCCUGGUGUAGCGGUGAAAUGCGCAGAUAUCAGGAGGAACACCGGUGGCGAAGGCGGUUCUCUGGGCAUUACCUGACGCUGAGGAGCGAAAGUGUGGGGAGCGAACAGG
rnacentral:rRNA from 1 species